UACGUAGGGUGCGAGCGUUAAUCGGAAUUACUGGGCGUAAAGCGUGCGCAGGCGGUUCGUUGUGUCGGUGGUGAAAUCCCCGGGCUUAACCUGGGAAUGGCCAUGGAAACUGGCGAACUGGAGUGCGGCAGAGGGGGGUGGAAUUCCGCGUGUAGCAGUGAAAUGCGUAGAGGUGCGGAGGAACACCGAUGGCGAAGGCAGCCCCCUGGGCUAGCACUGACGCUCAGGCACGAAAGCGUGGGGAGCAAACAGG
rnacentral:rRNA from 1 species